UUACAGAGUGAGAGAGAGAGAGAGAGAGAGAGAGAGAGAGAUGUGGUUAUGGUUUUGGGAGCUCAAGCCCAAGUGGGAGAUAACCGACCCAGAAUGAAAAUAAAAAGUGAAAUACAGAACGGAAAUUGAAACGAGAACAGAGUGUUCUUUCCAAGAAUCGGAAAAAAAAAACAAGGGAAAAGUGAAAUGAUUGUAUGGAAUUCAAUUUACAAAGAAGAAGAAUUGAAAUAGUAGUAGUCUCACAUGAAAACCAUAUCUUCAUUCUCACUAGUCUUUGGUAGCAGUGGAUUUGGGUCUUUUCAUUGCUAUGGUUAUAGUUUUAGUUGUUGCAGUUGCUCCUCUUCUUCCAAGAUUGUGGCCAAGAGUAGCAAAAAGCCCUCUCCAUCUUCCCCUCAGCAAGCUGAAAAGUAGGUACUGCUUUGACAUCAAUUUUCGACAAGCACAAAAAUCAACACACACCUCUUUCAUAAAGAUUUCAUUUAUGAGCACAAAGGACAAGGGGUGGAACCCAAACCAUGUAAAGCAGGGAGGUUCUGAGCCAGCUCCGCCAAGGAUUACAUCCAAUGUCAAGCAAAAUUUGCAGUUUUUAAAGUUAUGGAAGGAGUUUCAAAAGAGAAAGGCUGGCACACCUAAGCCUGCUACUAGUUACCGCAGAAAGAAGGAGGAGAAGGAAGACAUCCCAGAGGACUCACAGCUCUAUCGUGAUCCUACUCUGGCACUUUACAACACAAACCAAAGUAUAGACACUGCAGUUCCUGUCUUGCUUGUCGAUGGUUAUAAUGUAUGUGGCUAUUGGAUCAAGCUGAAGAAACAUUUUAUGAAUGGAAGACUUGAUGUUGCUCGCCAAAAGCUUAUUGAGGAACUGGAGACAUUCAGUCUGCUAAGAGAAGUGAAAGUGGUUGUUGUCUUUGAUGCCAUGAUGUCUGGACUCCCCACACACAAGGAAGAUUUUGCUGGUAUUGAUAUAGUAUUCUCAAGUGAGACAUGUGCUGAUGCAUGGAUUGAAAAAGAGGUUGUGGCCUUGAAGGAGGAUGGAUGCCCAAAAGUUUGGGUUGUGACAUCUGAUCAUUGUCAGCAGCAGGCAGCACAUGGAGCAUUAAGUCUUUUGCAUUGAUUAUGGGGGAUUAGCCAUUCGUGUUUGGUGGAUUUAUUGGUCUUAUAUGUGUUACUUAGAAAAUUCAUGGGAAAUUUCUGGUACGCAAAUCACAUAAUAAGGUUAGUUUAUAGAAUUUUUCGCAGUUACCCCAAAAGUUUAAUUUGUUAGAGAUAGUGUAACUUCUGUACUUUUAUACUCAAUUUGUGCCCUCAUAUGUGACCAGACUUCCCAUGAGUGGCUGGUGGCAGGACUUCCCCGACCAGAGUGGGCCAAACACAUGCAAGUAUUAUAAUUAUUAGGUAGGUGGUGAGAUUCCAAAAGCUUGAGUUGUUAGAAAUGGUCCAACAAUUUAUAUCAACCUCGUACAUCCUCCCUCACUGGCGAUUCCAACUCCUUUGCACACAUGGAGAGACAAACUAACUUGAAGUCACAAACUAAACUAAAUAGUGUGCAAACCUCAUGGAACAAAAUGCACAACAAAAAACAAAAUGGGGAACAACUAGAUACAAUGGGACGUGCACUUAAAGAAUUUCUGGGACCAAGGCUCUGAUAGCAUGUUAUAUCAUUAAUUACACCUUAAGAAGUUAGAGAAUAAAUGGUGUGAAAGAUUUCAAGUUGCCUAUAUUUCUAAACAAAACAAACCUUUACGAGUCAGUUGAGGACCAAGGGUUGUUAGAUGGUCCUUGCGAAGGUGUUGAUGACUAAUGAUUUGGUAAUUGCUUUUGACUUGAAGCUUUUGCUUCUUCACUGUUUAUUUUUUAAAGUAGGGUUGGAGUUGCAUUUGGAGAAUGUUUGGGCCCCUUUUGUAUGUUUUUCUUCUAACUGUGCUUUGGAGGACUCUAGCUUUUGCUGCAGGUUUAUCUGGCUGUUAUACCCAGUUUGCUUUAAUAGUUUGGACUAGGGCUUUAAACAAUGUGGAGGCCUGGUUGGCUAAAGCGGGUGCCUAAGUGACUUGUCAUGCAUGGUUCAGGCAGUGGCAGUCUUAUCUAUGCCUUCAACAGCUGAAAAGUAGUCAUAGAUAUCUCUGUAUAAAUCUUUUGCCAAGUGGCUUGCUUCAUCUUGGUUGAGUCAUUCCAUUAAAGGCCUGAUGCUGAUGGGUCUGUUUUUAACUGUUAUGAUGUAU